rnacentral:rRNA from 1 species
AUUGAACGCUGGCGGCAGGCCUAACACAUGCAAGUCGAGCGGAUGAAGGGAGCUUGCUCCUGGAUUCAGCGGCGGACGGGUGAGUAAUGCCUAGGAAUCUGCCUGGUAGUGGGGGAUAACGUCCGGAAACGGGCGCUAAUACCGCAUACGUCCUGAGGGAGAAAGUGGGGGAUCCUCGGACCUCACGCUAUCAGAUGAGCCUAGGUCGGAUUAGCUAGUUGGCGGGGUAAAGGCCUACCAAGGCGACGAUCCGUAACUGGUCUGAGAGGAUGAUCAGUCACACUGGAACUGAGACACGGUCCAGACUCCUACGGGAGGCAGCAGUGGGGAAUAUUGGACAAUGGGCGAAAGCCUGAUCCAGCCAUGCCGCGUGUGUGAAGAAGGUCUUCGGAUUGUAAAGCACCUUAAGUUGGGAGGAAGGGCAGUAAGUUAAUACCUUGCUGUUUUGACGUUACCAACAGAAUAAGCACCGGCUAACUUCGUG